AUCUGCAUCAGCAGAGCAGAUAAGCUCAGCCUCUCUUCAUCUGAAAAAGGAACAGAGGAGUAGCACUGGGAGACAGUGCAAUAUUUCAGGAUAUUGUGAAGAUUUCAGGCAACAAGACAACUUUCAGAUCCCACUUGGAUUUUUUGUCUAGCUGUAUCAGCCAUUGCAGCAAUCCAGCUAUGUCAGUGUGAUUUACCUCUUAAUCAGAGAUUUCAAAAUCAGUCUCCAUCUGCUGAAGAAUUCAAAGAUUUUGGAUUUGAGAACCUCUUUAUGAACAUCAAACUGUGGUCCAUUUCUCCCUGGAGUAUCGUGCAGCAGCAGCUCUUCAACACCAGGGGAAGUAUGAGCUAUCCACAGACACUCGUAAAAAACCAGGCACAUGCAGGCCACACAAGGUGCACAAGGCCAUCCAAGAGUCAUUAGCAGCUCCAGGGGAGGAGUUUUUUAUGCUCACUGUGGAACACUUGAGAAAAGGGAAAUUCAGAUGUGCACAGGGUGCAAGUUGUUUGGCCCAGCUCAGAUUUGUGCACCUCAUCAGUGUUGGUGAGGAUUGUGCUCAGCUGAUGCCACGUGAGGCUGUAGAGGAUUCCUUCUCAGAGAAUGGAUUUCCUCACUACUGUGUAAGCAGCUUCUGUUCCCACUCAGCCCUCAGUUCAGGAUUAAAGGGCAACUCAGGGCUCCACUUCAGUGGCUGAAGUUAAAGUAAGGCUAAAAUGGUCAAAGCCAUUUGCAGCAAUGAAAAGCAUAAUGAGGAAAAAUAAAGAGGUCUUCCACCACAUGCUGAGAAGAGAGGAAGUGCAGGAGAAAACAGACUAAAGUACAAGGUCCUGACUAUUCCUGGCACCAUAUGUUAGGCUCUUUGGGGAUUCUUCAGAGAGGUGAACUUCACUUGCACUGAGAUCAAUGAAAACCUGUGCAUUCAAUCUGUUUCUCAUAAAAAAAUAACUCAGAGUCUCUCCAGUGUGCAAGUCAGAACUGUCUGAAAGUCACAGGGAAAUGAAGAGCUGAAAGGCUAAGAGUUUUGUGCUUCUUUUUCUUUUUAUAUACUUUUUAUUCCCAGAGAUCCUAUGGGAAGCAUAGGACUUCAGCACAGGGACAGCCAAAAAGAUUCAGGGCUGUUAAAAUAGUAGCUUGUUUAAAUCCCAAGAUAAACUAGUUGUGCUAAAUUAAUCUAUGAACCCUCACAUCAGAUCUAGAGCCUCUGAGCAGUACAGAUAUUUUGAGAUGAUCUAAUUGUGGUUGGAGAGAAGGGAGAGUGUGGGCACAAGUAACACUGUGCUGUGUGCCACAGUGGGGUUAGCACACAGCACAGUGCAAAAAGCUGACAUGGGCAACACAGCCAGGACACCAGGGAGCAAAGACACCUAGGCAUUUCUGAAAAUUAAUUGCUGGAAUGAUCAGAUAGCAGAUUUGAAAUGCUUGCUAGGAAACUGAGGAAGAUGUGUGAAGAAAAAUGGUGAGCUUUAGGAAGUGUUGACAGGACUGGAAAGGGCAGGGAAGGGUACUGUUGCCAACUAAUAGAUUAAUAGAAAGGAAUUGUCUCUUGAGGGUGUUUUUCCAGCUCUUCAGCAGGAGUCAGAGACACCUGGAUGGCUUUGUUUUCUAAACUCAGGCAGGACAAGUUAAAAGCAGUGCCUCUCACCAAAGUGAAUUAAAGGACACAAGUACUGUCUGUUGGGAGGCAGGGGACAGGAUUUGACAGGUGAAGGCUGGCCAGGGAGCUGAAGGAGAUGAGCAUUUGAGGAACACCAGGAUUGUUCUGGACAACACUCUUUUGUGAGUCUGCUGCUGUCAGAUGCUGUGGGGUUGAGAGCACUUCAUCCAUCCCCACUCACUCCCAGCCUAACACAGCACCACAAAAUACCAGAAACCAUCCAGGUAUUGGCAAUAUAAUCACUCACACCAAACAAGAAGGCAGCAGAGAAGAAUUCUAAUGUACUGCUGGGAAAUGUGGAAUAUGUAGUAUAUUGCUAUAUCCAUCCUCAUUGGGUGGACGACAUUUAAACACUGAAAUGGAUGUUCUUCAGAAAUUGUGGACAACAGUUUUGUUUUUACCCCUCUGCACAAAUGGUGGAAAACAUUUUUUUUUUAAACUGCACUGCAGACAGAAAACAAAAUGAAUAAUGAUUUUGCAGUUUCUGACUCCUUCAAGAUGUGAUUGAUCAUUACAUUGUCACAGGUCAACCUCUGCCACAGAAAACUCCAGAUAAUCUUCAGCUGCAUUUCCUAAACCAUUAAUAGGAUAGACAAGGCUAAGAUAACAAUGCACAAUUUAUUUUCCAAAAGCAGCUGACAGGAGGAAAUGGAUACCAAAUGAAUUAACUCAUUAGAACAGUACGGCACAUUUGGAAACUCAAAACAGACUGCCUGGAAUGAUUUCAAUCUGCCACGAGGUUAAUGUCAGUCCCUUGCUUAGGCGUGUCAGUGUUGUAAACUAGUGAUCCUGUUUUAGAAAGGUUGAUGUGUGCACACCCUGGGACUUGUGCCUUAGGGUGGCCUGGACUUAAUUGAUUGCAUGACUUGAACGCUGUGUCCCUCACAGGUUGCAUAGUAUGUGCAAGGGUUACAUCCACAUGGACACACAAAAAACCACACAGACAUACCAACACUUUUUAAUAUAAACAAAAAAUAUUUGUUAGCUUGUUGAGAAUCAUCAUUAAAAAUAGCAGGUAUCUUACAGGCUGUAAAUACAUUCUGUUUUUAAGGAACUGUAUCUAUAUCCAGAGCAAAAACUUAGCAACUGUCUCAAGGGAGCAAAGUUUGUCUCAUGCCUGAUUUAUAACCAGCUGAGAAUUUCUCAGAAUUUGGGUUUUAACAUUUGUCAGCCACAAGUUGUCAAGCAAGCCUAUUUUCUCCUGGUAAGCUCCCACCUGUGUCUGUUUCAUAGUUACAGCAGUAUAUUUUUAGAAAAUUGUGGACUUUUAUUCAGCCUACUGGACUCCAUUACAGCACUGCUAAGGUAAUAUCUACAUUUAUAGCUGUCAUUAAUAUGGUAUUUAAGAGCUUUAGUUGCUUUUUCUCAUUCACAGGGUAAUAAGCCGUAAUUAAAGGAGUCAGGGGCUGUAUUACAGAAACAUUUCCCACCCCAUGUGUAGCACAAAGAUUACUUUGCAAAGAGACAACUGGGAGCCAAAGCAGUUCAGAGUAUUUCUUCAUAUAUUCAUAUCAAUAACACAAUGGCAAUUGUCAUUAAAAGAACAACAUUCUAAAACAGUAACUUGUUCAACCACUGUAUCUGAAAAUGGCUUAAAUUUGAUUAGUGUGUGCAGAUAAUGGGGACUAGACAACAGCAUAGAAAUGGUCCUGUUGAUUUAUAUCUGAAGAGUCCCUACACAUGAUUUACCAGCAGCAGCUGUAAAAAGCUCUUUGCUUUCCUUUCGGUGCAGAAAUCACUUAGAACAAGGGUCAUCCCAAAACAAAAGCAAUUCAAGCAGCCUAUCUAAGGAAGGAAGGAGGGAAGGAAGGAAGGAGACUUAUUUCAUCUUCUACACUGGGGAUCGUUUUUACAUCACCCCAGAUUAUGCAAUAUACCAUGGCAGGGACUGUGAAGCAUGAGUUCAUGGAGAAAGGGCACUUUCAUUAGUGCUGCUGCAGUGUCUGCUCUCAGAUGUCUGAGGUGGAAAGGUCACAGCCACAGACUUCACAGCACCACUAUCUGCCCUGUCUACACCCACCCCUGCUUAUCCAGAGCUGUGAGGAAGGGAGGUUAAAUGCUUUCAUAUGAGGUGUGUGUUUAUCCUGAUGGCAUACAAAGAAGAAUCCUGUUAAAUUAAGUAGCACCCUUCUUAAGAAUGGCAAUUACUGUGAAGCACAGAUUCAAGUAAGAUUCCCUGAAUUUGUGAUCUGAUUCAUUUGGCAGUGAUGUUUUACAAUGUGUAGUGUCAAACACUAUAUAAUGUCAAUGAUAAGAGAGCACAUGAGGAUUUAUGAUGUGUAAUGACGUGAAAUGUCUUUGGUGCUCCAACUCUGGCUCUUUUGUUUGCAUGUAAACCACAAACUGGUUUGGCAUAAGGCACAAGAUUUUUUCCCAUCUCAAAAAAAAAAGGGUCAGCUGUACUGGAAUGAGGUAAAAGUACAAAGGUAAGGGCAGGAUUACUUCAGAUCAGGGGAUUGCUUCAUAUGGUCACAACCCUUCUUUUCCUCAAGUAUCUAGAUUUAGUAUGAUUUUCCAAUAAUGUUCAGAGAAGUGUUGAAAGUACUGUAUAGGUCUUUGUCCUUUAAUUGAAUUACCCACAUACAUGUGCACACACACAAACACACACACACUCGACCCCUUCCAUUAUGCACCAAAAGGCUUUAGUGGCCCCAAGUCACAGCACUCCAGAAAUCAAACAUGUUGGUACUUUCUGGAAGCUGUGUUGCAAAUUCUUGCAGAACAGAUGUGUGAUUCCAAUUCAUGCAACCUUCCAGCUCUGUGAAUUGAGGGUCCUAAUCAGAUAUAGUUCUGUUCUUUUAUUUUGUCUGGCUUAAAACAUCUCUCUGAGGUCAACUUCAUCCAUGCAAUUGCCCCAAAGAGAAUUGCUAGAUUUAGCUGACAGAUGCAAAAAAUCUCAUGUUGUCACAGAACUCCCCAGUGUCUACUCAGCACCAGAUGUCAAAGAAUGCAAAUCUACAGCUGGGUCUGGUGUUCUUUUGUACUCCAAAUUCCCUCCCUCCCAGCUGUUGUUUUCCACUUCCAUGUACAUAGAGUUGAAUUUUCAGAAGCAGGAGAUAGACACUUAUGGCUUCCUAUAUUGAUAUGAAUAUACUUUUUUUUUUAAUUUACCUGGAAAACAUCUUUUUUUAGUUGAAUAAUGGUGUAUUUGUGAGGUUUGAGUAUGCUUACCUGUCACUAUUGAAAACAACCUUACUCAUCUUGUACAUGCAAUCUCUUCUCAGGAAGUUCUCUGGAACUGGAGUUGUCUUUCCAAGUAGCUAUUUAGAAGUGCAGAAUAGGAUUUUCUCCCUUGCUUAGGCCUCCUGGGCACCAUGGAAAUAAUAAGCAUGACCACAGUAAUACAAAACAAAAGACCUAUAGUCAUAAGGAAUUGCAGAGCAGUGUUUAUUCAGUUAUCUGGAGGUCCUUUGCUGGCUAUCCUUUGUGUCUCUCAGGAGAGGAAGUUCUAGCCUGGGACUACAAUGACUGGUUUUAAAUUUUGUUCUCUCUCAUGUAGAUAUUACCAACCUGCACAGCUUUUGAAAUAUUGUCAGAUAGUAAUACGUCUGCAAGAGCUGAGCUGACUUUUCCUUUUUUUGUUUUUUCCCCUACCUAAAUUGGGGGAAAAUUUGAAAUAACAGGUAAGGGUGACUACAGCAGUAUACAUUAGUUUUCCUGAGCUUCCUGUAAAUGAAUUCAGAGAUUCAGAAUUUCUAAGGUUCACCUGCAGUGACCUCUAGUGUAGUUUAGAUUUCCUUUUCUUAAAUGAAGAUAGCAUGCAUAUGGAGACUUUCUCUUUUUACUUACUUGUGUGAUGAUCUUCAGCUCACAGAGUUCUCUGUUGUACAGAUAUUAAUCACAAUCUAAGAAAUUAUUUGGUUUAUUAUACUUCUACUUUUCAGCCAGUCAAGAAACUUAGUUUUCAUCUAGGGCUAAGGACACAUUACUGUGUUUAAAAAGGAUGGGUUGUAAAUGAUGGGAAAGUAUGCAAAACACAGGUUCAAAUUUAAAUUAAAGGUCCAAAUUAUACAAUCACAUGUAAAUUCCUACUUUUUGAGGAAAGCCUAGCAAUGCACUUUACCAUUGCAACAUGCCUUAUAUCAGACUGCAGAAGUUUCACAGAACAUUCACCUUCCUGCACUGUUUUUAUUGUCUUCAGCUGGGUGACGAUAUUGUUGAUUUAACCCCCUGCUCCAAAUGCAAUUCACCAAGCUGCACUGUCUCCCCAAACUCACUGAGACCUGAGGUGGCAAACCCAUGCUAUGACCAGCAGUGCUGAAUUGAUUUCUCAUCCAGUACCUGCAAAGAGCAUAGACUCACCUCACUCCAGCGACAACACACUUCAAGUCACCAGCUGACCUGCAUGCAGCUACCCCAGCUCUUUCUACAUCCCUGCCACCCAGUGUUCCAAGAUCUGACCCAGGGGAAGGCAGAGCCAGCUCAGGUACCUGCAUCUGCCACGUGAAUGCUCAUAAAUCUUCACAUUGCCAGGAAGAUUGAAUCAAACAAACCUGACUAUGAAAUACUGAAAAGCUGACUCCUAAAGCUGCCUAUGCUAAGUUGCCUAAGCUAAGUUGCCUUGCCUGAGUCCUAUUACUGUUAUGAAAUGUUUUAACAUAACUUGAGUGAUAGUUAUCAAACACAGAAGUGGAACAGUCAUAGGGAGAGUCUCCAGGUAUUUCUGUAUUUAUUAAUCAUGCCUAUAAAACAGAGUAAUGGAAAUGAAAAUGCAAAGUGUUAACACCAUUUUGGGGAAGUCUAGAAGUGUUUAUAACUACUAUUAUUAUAUAUUUGUAUCCACAAUAUCCAUUUUUUGAAGUAGAUAAUAAUAUCAAUUUAGGAAAGCAGUGAUUUAAGAUAAAAGAAAAAGUGGUGUUUAAUGGAUUUACAUUAGGCAGUAGCAGAGCUAUCCACCUAUCAGAUAAGAGGAAAGGAGGGAGAAGAGUAUAAAUACUUUGUUUGAAGUGAUAUGACCCGGCACAAAUAGCCUCAGUGACAUUUUAAGAUCAAACAGUCCAAGACUCAGGUACAUAUACUUCAAAUCACAAGGGGAAGUUUUGGGAAGCUGAGCCUGAUCUGCCUAGCCCGAUCUGAGCUAGUGCUCAGAGUGACAAAAACUUUUAUUUAAUUCUG